GAACGUUUCUGGCAAGGCACACAGCGGGUUGGUUUGCUGAUGAGCGGAGAGGACGGUGGCUGCGCAGGCGUCGCUGGAAGACUGGGCAGUGGGAGAGAUGUUGAGAGUGAUGGAGAGAGAGAGAGAGAGAAAUACGUGGUUGUGAUGCGCAACGAAGGGAUGCCGGUGUCUAUGGCCGUCACCGCUGCUCGUGGUUUGCUGCGAUCGCCGCCGGAGAAGAAAAACCGAGCAGGAAGAGAGGGG
rnacentral:misc_RNA from 1 species